CAGAAUAGAUCUUGAAAAGAAUUUCAUUUACAUUGAAAAGAUUUAUAUUAAGUUAUAAUAUUCUGA
rnacentral:tRNA from 1 species